GACGAACGCUGGCGGCGUGCUUAACACAUGCAAGUCGAACGGAAAGGCCCUGCUUUUGUGGGGUGCUCGAGUGGCGAACGGGUGAGUAACACGUAAGUAACCUGCCCUUGACUUUGGGAUAACUUCAGGAAACUGGGGCUAAUACCGGAUAGGAGCUCCUGCUGCAUGGUGGGGGUUGGAAAGUUUCGGCGGUUGGGGAUGGACUCGCGGCUUAUCAGCUUGUUGGUGGGGUAGUGGCUUACCAAGGCUUUGACGGGUAGCCGGCCUGAGAGGGUGACCGGCCACAUUGGGACUGAAAUACGGCCCAGACUCCUACGGGAGGCAGCAGUGGGGAAUAUUGCACAAUGGGCGGAAGCCUGAUGCAGCAACGCCGCGUGCGGGAUGACGGCCUUCGGGUUGUAAACCGCUUUCGCCUGUGACGAAGCGUGAGUGACGGUAAUGGGUAAAGAAGCAUCGGCUAACUACGUG
rnacentral:rRNA from 1 species